CAUCUUUUCACAGGGGAAAAAGUAGAAACUUCAGAAAAUGGAACAUACUCUAUUUGAUAUCUGUUACAAAUACUAGGGGAAAGCCUCCCCUCAUCGGAGUUCACAGCAAAAUUCCAAGCCUGCAGGAAUUGAAAUAUUUUUGAUUAAAGAGUCUUUAUGCAGACAGUUUGCCACUGUGAUCACUGCAAUGCAAACUCUAACAGCUUUGGAUAAAUUCCCAGUCUGACUCUUACUGUGUAAAAAUCAUCAGACACCACUGGAACAGUUAGAUCCCUAGCUUGGUGGGAUGAAAGAAGGAUGCGUACAGAAGAAGCUGAGAAGCGGUUAGUACUUCUCUGGCUUGAAGCUGUCCGCAACUUCAUUUGGGUAACAGAAUAGAAGGCUGGAAUGAUUCUGAAUUGAGCUGUGGUACAGAGCUGCUGGUCAGUCAGUUACAGUUGGAAUCAGUGGUGGCACAUCUGUAGAUGAACAUAAAUGAAAGUAUAUAGAAAAGGUACUCUACAUCUUCACUAGGUUUUCUGUAGGUUUGGACCGCUUCAUUUGGAGACUGAGCUGGGAAAUCAAUUUUGCUUCAGUAACUAAAUCUUUGGUUUAAGCUGUGAUAGCCUUUGGAGCAGGAUAUCGGAAGAAAUGAUGGCAUGGAGUCAGGGAGAAAAGGUGAAAAGUGAGAGAGAAAGAAACCAGAACCACUUUUCUUAAUAGCACUGGCUUACCCUGAGUUUGUCCUGACCUACCUAGAGGAACUAAAUGAAAGAGGAGGUGACCCAGACAGAAAACCGCAUUCACCAUGGGGCCUGAUCUGCAGCUCAUCGGGAGAUAGACAGCAGCUCAGCAGAAGAGAUUCUGCAAAAAAAUGUCAGCAACCCCAAUCAGAAACAACUUUCAGGACCUUUGGACGCCCAUUUAAUGCCUGCAGAUCCCCUAGGGGAGACUACACAGCUGACAGUGGCACUGGUGAGGAAACUAGAAGAGAAACAUCCUAAGGCCUCAGCUCAAAGUGCCUCCUAACUAGUUCAAAACUAGUUCCUAUGAAGUUAAAGAUGGGCACAGAGCACAUGAUAUCAACCAUUGGUCAUGGCCGACGUCAAAACUCUCCAGCUGCUAACUGGGAGACCGUUCUGUGGUUCUUCUGUAUUGCAAAUUCUAAACUUUCCACAAGUUACCUCGUGCCAUUUGCUUCAUUACAGUAUCAAGAGAUGAAACCCAGUGCAGCAGCAUGACAGAAGAUACAUUGAACAGUCAGCAGACCCAUGAAGAGAGAUACUGGACCUUUCUGUAGUAACAACAUAAUUUCAAAGUGGUGCUCUUGAAAAGUGUCUGACUCCAAUAGCAGCGUUCCCUUUGAAUCUCC